rnacentral:rRNA from 1 species
GUGGGGAAUAUUGGACAAUGGGGGCAACCCUGAUCCAGCAACGCCGCGUGGAUGAAGAAGGCCUUCGGGUUGUAAAGUCCUUUCGGCAGGGACGAUGAUGACGGUACCUGCAGAAGAAGCCCCGGCUAACUUCGUGCCAGCAGCCGCGGUAAUACGAAGGGGGCUAGCGUUGUUCGGAAUUACUGGGCGUAAAGGGCGCGUAGGCGGACGCGCAAGUCAGGGGUGAAAUCCCGGGGCUCAACCUCGGAAUUGCCUUUGAGACUGCGUAUCUUGAGGACGGGAGAGGGUCGUGGAAUUCCCAGUGUAGAGGUGAAAUUCGUAGAUAUUGGGAAGAACACCGGUGGCGAAGGCGGCGACCUGGACCGUAUCUGACGCUGAGGCGCGAAAGCGUGGGGAGCAAACAGGAUUAGAAACCCGGGUAGUCC